rnacentral:rRNA from 1 species
CGGCGAGUGAAGCGGCAAAAGCUCAAAUUUGAAAUCUGGCGCCUUCGGUGUCCGAGUUGUAAUUUGAAGAUUGUAACCUUGGGGUUGGCUCUUGUCUAUGUUUCUUGGAACAGGACGUCACAGAGGGUGAGAAUCCCGUGCGAUGAGAUGCCCAAUUCUAUGUAAGGUGCUUUCGAAGAGUCGAGUUGUUUGGGAAUGCAGCUCUAAGUGGGUGGUAAAUUCCAUCUAAAGCUAAAUAUUGGCGAGAGACCGAUAGCGAACAAGUACAGUGAUGGAAAGAUGAAAAGAACUUUGAAAAGAGAGUGAAAAAGUACGUGAAAUUGUUGAAAGGGAAGGGUUUGAGAUCAGACUCGAUAUUUUGUGAGCCUUGCCUUCGUGGCGGGGUGACCCGCAGCUUAUCGGGCCAGCAUCGGUUUGGGCGGUAGGAUAAUGGCGUAGGAAUGUGACUUUACUUCGGUGAAGUGUUAUAGCCUGCGUUGAUGCUGCCUGCCUAGACCGAGGACUGCGAUUUUAUCAAGGAUGCUGGCAUAAUGAUCCCAAACCGCCCGUCUUGAAACACGGACC